GAGGGUAUAGCUCAGUGGUGGAGUGUGUGCUUAGCAUACAUGAGAUCCUGGGUUCAGUUCUCAGUACUUCCA
rnacentral:tRNA from 1 species